rnacentral:rRNA from 1 species
ACGGGGUGCAGCAGGCGCGAAACCUUUACACUGCACGACAGUGCGAUAAGGGAAUCCCAAGUGCGUAGGCAUAGAGCCUACGCUUUUGUCCACCGUAGGGAGGUGGACGAAUAAGGGCUGGGCAAGACCGGUGCCAGCCGCCGCGGUAAUACCGGCAGCCCGAGUGAUGGCCGAUCUUAUUGGGCCUAAAGCGUCCGUAGCUGGCCGCGCAAGUCUAUCGGAAAAUCCACCCGCUCAACGGGUGGGCGUCCGGUAGAAACUGCGUGGCUUGGGACCGGAAGGCGCGACGGGUACGUCCGGGGUAGGAGUGAAAUCCUGUAAUCCUGGACGGACCACCGGUGGCGAAAGCGCCUCGGGAGAACGGAUCCGACAGUGAGGGACGAAAGCUAGGGUCUCGAACCGGAUUAGAUACCCGGGUAGUCCUAGCUGUAAACGAUGCCCGCUAGGUUUGGCACAGGCUACGAGCCUGUGCUGUGCCGUAGGGAAGCCGAGAAGCGGGCCGCCUGGGAAGUACGUCCGCAAGGAUGAAACUUAAAGGAAUUGGCGGGGGAGCAC